AAUCAACGCUGGCGGCGUGCCUAACACAUGCAAGUCGAACGCGAAAGUGGAGCAAUCCAUGAGUAGAGUGGCAAACGGGUGAGUAACGCGUGGGCGACCUACCUCUGAGUGGGGGAUAACCUUCCGAAAGGAGGGCUAAUACCGCAUGACAUCCCGUGUUUGGAUACACGGACAUCAAAGCCGGGGAUCGCAAGACCUGGCGCUUGGAGAGGGGCCCGCGUCCGAUUAGCUAGUUGGUGAGGUAACGGCUCACCGAGGCUCCGAUCGGUAUCCGGCCUGAGAGGGCGGACGGACACACUGGAACUGAGACACGGUCCAGACUCCUACGGGAGGCAGCAGUGGGGAAUUGUUCGCAAUGGGCGCAAGCCUGACGACGCAACGCCGCGUGGAGGAUGAAGACUUUCGGUCGUAA
rnacentral:rRNA from 1 species